GAGUUUGAUCAUGGCUCAGGAUGAACGCUAGCGGCAGGCUUAACACAUGCAAGUCGAGGGGCAUCGGGAGGGAAGCUUGCUUUCCUUGCCGGCGACCGGCGCACGGGUGAGUAACACGUAUGCAACCUGCCCUCUUCAGGGGGACAACCUUCCGAAAGGGAGGCUAAUCCCGCGUAUAUCGGUUUCGGGCAUCCGAGAUCGAGGAAAGAUUCAUCGGAAGAGGAUGGGCAUGCGGCGCAUUAGCUUGACGGCGGGGUAACGGCCCACCGUGGCGACGAUGCGUAGGGGUUCUGAGAGGAAGGUCCCCCACACUGGUACUGAGACACGGACCAGACUCCUACGGGAGGCAGCAGUGAGGAAUAUUGGUCAAUGGGAGAGAUCCUGAACCAGCCAAGCCGCGUGAGGGAAGACGGCCCUAUGGGUUGUAAACCUCUUUUGUCGGAGAACAAAACCCGGGACGUGUCCCGGACUGCGUGUAUCCGAAGAAAAAGCAUCGGCUAACUCCGUGCCAGCAGCCGCGGUAAUACGGAGGAUGCGAGCGUUAUCCGGAUUUAUUGGGUUUAAAGGGUGCGUAGGCGGUCCGUUAAGUCAGCGGUAAAAUUGCGGGGCUCAACCCCGUCGAGCCGUUGAAACUGGCAGACUUGAGUUGGCGAGAAGUACGCGGAAUGCGCGGUGUAGCGGUGAAAUGCAUAGAUAUCGCGCAGAACUCCGAUUGCGAAGGCAGCGUACCGGCGCCACACUGACGCUGAGGCACGAAAGCGUGGGGAUCGAACAGGAUUAGAUACCCUGGUAGUCCACGCAGUAAACGAUGAAUGCUGGUUGUCCGGGUCGAAUGAGAUCUGGGCGGCGAAGCGAAAGCGAUAAGCAUUCCACCUGGGGAGUACGCCGGCAACGGUGAAACUCAAAGGAAUUGACGG
rnacentral:rRNA from 1 species